CAACUUGAUUUACUAGUCACAAUGCAUGAUCCCUAGUGCCAAAUUGUCCCUUUUAUUUUGGUUUUAGCUGAUACAACUAUAAUAUUAAGAAGAAGAAAAUUAGUUCUUGUUUCAUCUGUGUUUAUUAUUUAAAUGUGGCUAAUGUUUCUUAAAGGUUUAACACGUUGGUAGAGCAUUUCUAACUCACUAUAUUCUCUACUUUAAAAUGAAGUUUACAGUCAAAUUUGUUCUAACUUCA
rnacentral:lncRNA from 1 species